CCUGAGUUGGUGCAAUGGUAGCAUAUCCGAUCUCAUCGAUACAGAGGCUGCAGCUCUGGAAUCGGCCCUUUAGGGCGGGAAGACUUUGGUUCGAAUCCGAAACUUGGGG
rnacentral:tRNA from 1 species